AUCUCAGUUGGCCAGAGCACGUGAUUUGUAAUCUCGGGGUCGUGGGUUCGAAUCCGACAAGAG
rnacentral:tRNA from 1 species